AUCAGUGUGGUGUAGUGGUUUGAGCAUUGGACUGUCAUUCUGGAGACCAGGGUUCAAUUCCCGGCUCUGCUA